GCCUGGGUGGCUGAGUAGGUUAAGCAUCUGACUCUUGAUUUCGGCUCAGGUCAUGGUCUCACGGUUUGUGAGUUCGAGCCCCACAUCGGGCU
rnacentral:tRNA from 1 species